AUUGAACGCUGGCGGCAUGCUUUACACAUGCAAGUCGAACGGUAACAGGCCGCAAGGUGCUGACGAGUGGCGAACGGGUGAGUAAUGCAUCGGAACGUGCCCAGUCGUGGGGGAUAACGCAGCGAAAGCUGUGCUAAUACCGCAUACGACCUGUGGAUGAAAGCGGGGGACCGCAAGGCCUCGCGCGAUUGGAGCGGCCGAUGUCAGAUUAGGUAGUUGGUGGGGUAAAGGCCUACCAAGCCGACGAUCUGUAGCUGGUCUGAGAGGACGACCAGCCACACUGGGACUGAGACACGGCCCAGACGCCUACGGGAGGCAGCAGUGGGGAAUUUUGGACAAUGGGCGCAAGCCUGAUCCAGCAAUGCCGCGUGCAGGAAGAAGGCCUUCGGGUUGUAAACUGCUUUUGUAUGGAACGAAACGGUCUGGGUUAAUACCCUGGGCUAAUGACGGUACCGUAAGAAUAAGCACCGGCUAACUUCGUGCCAGCCGCCGCCGUAAAAC
rnacentral:rRNA from 1 species